GGAUUGUUGCUCAGUGGUAGAGUGCUCACCUUGCAUGUGUGAGGCCCUGGGUUCAAUCCUCAGCACCA
rnacentral:tRNA from 1 species